UACGUAGGCGGAAUAUUAAGUCAGUGGUGAAAUCCUGCGGCUCAACCGUAGAGCUGCCAUUGAUACUGAUAUUCUUGAAUGUAGUUGAGGUAGGCGGAAUGUGUAAUGUAGCGGUGAAAUGCUUAGAUAUUACACAGAACACCGAUUGCGAAGGCAGCUUACUAAACUAUGAUUGACGCUGAUGUACGAAAGCGUGGGGAGCGAACAGGAUUAGAUACCCUGGUAGUCC
rnacentral:rRNA from 1 species